GACGAACGCUGGCGGCGUGCUUAACACAUGCAAGUCGAACGGAAAGGCCCUGCUUUUGUGGGGUGCUCGAGUGGCGAACGGGUGUGUAACACGUGAGUAACCUGCCCUUGACUUUGGGAUAACUUCAGGAAACUGGGGCUAAUACCGGCUAGGAGCUCCUGCUGCAUGGUGGGGGUUGGAAAGUUUCGGCGGUUGGGGAUGGACUCGCGGCUUAUCAGCUUGUUGGUGGGGUAGUGGCUUACCAAGGCUUGGACGGGUAGCCGGCCUGAGAGGGUGACCGGCCACAUUGGGACUGAGAUGCGGCACAGACUCCUACGGGACGCAGCAGUGGAGAAUAUUGUACAAUGGGCGGAAGCCUGAUGCAGCAACGCCGCGUGGGGGAUGACGGCCAUCGGGUUGUAAUCCGCUUUCGCCUGUGACGAAGCGUGAGUGACGGUAAUGGGUAAAGAAGCACCGGCUAACUACGUG
rnacentral:rRNA from 1 species